rnacentral:rRNA from 1 species
AGAGUUUGAUCCUGGCUCAGGAUGAACGCUGGCGGCGUGCCUAAUACAUGCAAGUCGAGCGAACGGACGAGAAGCUUGCUUCUCUGAUGUUAGCGGCGGACGGGUGAGUAACACGUGGAUAACCUACCUAUAAGACUGGGAUAACUUCGGGAAACCGGAGCUAAUACCGGAUAAUAUUUUGAACCGCAUGGUUCAAAAGUGAAAGACGGUCUUGCUGUCACUUAUAGAUGGAUCCGCGCUGCAUUAGCUAGUUGGUAAGGUAACGGCUUACCAAGGCAACGAUGCAUAGCCGACCUGAGAGGGUGAUCGGCCACACUGGAACUGAGACACGGUCCAGACUCCUACGGGAGGCAGCAGUAGGGAAUCUUCCGCAAUGGGCGAAAGCCUGACGGAGCAACGCCGCGUGAGUGAUGAAGGUCUUCGGAUCGUAAAACUCUGUUAUUAGGGAAGAACAUAUGUGUAAGUAACUGUGCACAUCUUGACGGUACCUAAUCAGAAAGCCACGGCUAACUACGUGCCAGCAGCCGCGGUAAUACGUAGGUGGCAAGCGUUAUCCGGAAUUAUUGGGCGUAAAGCGCGCGUAGGCGGUUUUUUAAGUCUGAUGUGAAAGCCCACGGCUCAACCGUGGAGGGUCAUUGGAAACUGGAAAACUUGAGUGCAGAAGAGGAAAGUGGAAUUCCAUGUGUAGCGGUGAAAUGCGCAGAGAUAUGGAGGAACACCAGUGGCGAAGGCGACUUUCUGGUCUGUAACUGACGCUGAUGUGCGAAAGCGUGGGGAUCAAACAGGAUUAGAUACCCUGGUAGUCCACGCCGUAAACGAUGAGUGCUAAGUGUUAGGGGGUUUCCGCCCCUUAGUGCUGCAGCUAACGCAUUAAGCACUCCGCCUGGGGAGUACGACCGCAAGGUUGAAACUCAAAGGAAUUGACGGGGACCCGCACAAGCGGUGGAGCAUGUGGUUUAAUUCGAAGCAACGCGAAGAACCUUACCAAAUCUUGACAUCCUUUGACAACUCUAGAGAUAGAGCCUUCCUCUUCGGGGGACAAAGUGACAGGUGGUGCAUGGUUGUCGUCAGCUCGUGUCGUGAGAUGUUGGGUUAAGUCCUGCAACGAGCGCAACCCUUAAGCUUAGUUGCCAUCAUUAAGUUGGGCACUCUAAGUUGACUGCCGGUGACAAACCGGAGGAAGGUGGGGAUGACGUCAAAUCAUCAUGCCCCUUAUGAUUUGGGCUACACACGUGCUACAAUGGACAAUACAAAGGGCAGCGAAACCGCGAGGUCAAGCAAAUCCCAUAAAGUUGUUCUCAGUUCGGAUUGUAGUCUGCAACUCGACUACAUGAAGCUGGAAUCGCUAGUAAUCGUAGAUCAGCAUGCUACGGUGAAUACGUUCCCGGGUCUUGUACACACCGCCCGUCACACCACGAGAGUUUGUAACACCCGAAGCCGGUGGAGUAACCUUUUAGGAGCUAGCCGUCGAAGGUGGGACAAAUGAUUGGGGUGAAGUCGUAACAAGGUAGCCGUAUCGGAAGGUGCGGCUGGAUCACCU